GUAAGAGUUUUUGGUUUACUCUAGUUUACUCUACUGUGUCAUGACAGUGUCAUGUGAGGGUCAUGUGUUCAUGACAGUCUCAUGUGUUCAUGACAGUCUCAUGUGUUCAUGACAGUGUCAUGUCAUUCUUAUGUAGAAAACUUCAAGUGUUACCAAGUUUUUUAAAGGCACAGCCUCCAAUUCAAAAGUGUAGCCCCAUCAAAAGAACAGAUCUCAGUCUCAAACUGAUUGGCAUGUCUUUCAAUAGGCAGACUAACAAAAGACAAUGGCUAAAUUAUAGUAAAACUAUUUUUUGUAGAUCACUGAGUACAUCCACGGGCGUGUCGGGUAUGAUCGGAGGAGUCUACAUCCACGAUGUUCUCUACAUGUUAAAUUGAGACAGCUAGCUAGACUAUCUGUCCAAUCUGAGUUUUCUCUCACGGCUAAAGCAACUUUUAAAUGUACACAUUACGGAGUUUAGCGCCUCCCAUGAUGAUUGUGAUUGGUUGCCCAUGCUGUGUGGAUUAUCCCAACCCUCCUUUGCAGUGCUGUGGAGGAGGGUCUGGCAAAGCGACCUACGAUCGACGUAUCAAGGUUAUGUGUUUACGCCUGUGUAAACAUCAUAUUCUGUUUCAAGAAACCUAGGAAAAAUUAAAAUCUUCACUCCAAAGUGAUAGUUAAAUUCUGACACCAGUAAUAGAAAAGAACUUUUAAUGUCCCGUCUUCCAUUGAUGCUGAUCAGCUGACAAAGCAAUCGUCCUCACUUCCGUCUGUACAGAACUGCAGUCGCGAGAACUCAAAGACACACCUGGAUCUACACAGUGUGCUGAAUAGUGUGGACACCAACAAAACGGAGACAAAUUCCGGCCUUCAUUUGUACAGCAAGCAGAAAGAGAUUAAAAAAAACAGUGGAAACAAGUAGAGAACAAUAUAAACUCAAAAUCCCGAUGGGCCCUCACUACCAGAAACCAAAAAGGAUCCAACACAUUCUCACUCCCAUCUCGUAAAAUAUGGACGCUUGGUCAGAUGUCUUUGUCAUUUUUAUUGACACUAAAAGUCUCCUUUAGCGUCAUAUAACACGCUCUACCUAAACACAACUGGUCAGGACUAUUGGCGUCCCUUUUGACGCUCUUGGUAGGGACUAUUGGGGUCCUUUUUAACACACUGGGACGGGACUAUUGGCGUCCCUUUUGACGCGCUUGGUCGGAACUAUUGGCGUCCCUUUUGACGUGCUUGGUCGGGACCAUUGGGGUCCUUUUGGACGCGUUUGGUCGGGAUUAUUGGCGCCCCUUUUGACGUGCUUGGUCGGGACUAUUAGCGUCCUUUUUAACACACUGGGACGGGACUAUUGGCGUCCCUUUUGACGCGCUUGGUCUGAACUAUUGGCGUCCCUUUUGACGUGCUUGGUCGGGACUAUUGGCGUCCCAUUUGACGCUCUUGGUCGGGACUAUUAGCGUCCUAUUUAACACACUCGGACGGGACAAUUGGCGUCCUUUUUGAUGCUGUUAAGGAAAGUUCGUGGGUGGGCUUUUGGCUUUCGGUGACACGCGGCAAUAACGGGACAAUUAAGGACACACGCGGGACAUGAACCCCGCUCUCUUGGGUGAAAGUCCUGUGUCUGUGUCCCUUUUGAUGCUGGAAGGGAAAGGUUGUGGGUGGGCUUAUAGUUCCGUGACUUGCGGGAACGGGACAGUUGGGUUUAGGAAAAGGUCAUGGGUGGGCUUACGGUUCCCUGACACGCGGCAAUAACAGGACGGUUAAGAAAACACGCGGGACAUGAACGCCGCUCUCCUGGGUGAAAGUCCUGGGUCUGUGUCAGAAACCUGGAUCUUUCCAGAAUUAACAGGUUGUGUCUACAUAGAGACAAAGAACUCGGUUUCUCAUGUUUUGUGUGGCCAUCAUGUUCUACAUAUGUUCAAAAGCAGUAUAAUUAUCAAAACUGGGAUAAUAAUGCACGUGUAAACAGUCACCACUCAUUCAACACAUGACAAUGUAAUGAGAGUGAAGAUGUUUCACAUACAAAGCCAACAAAGCC